rnacentral:rRNA from 1 species
GAUGAACGCUGGCGGCGUGCUUAAUACAUGCAAGUCGAGCGAACAGAUGAGGAGCUUGCUCCUCUGACGUUAGCGGCGGACGGGUGAGUAACACGUGGAUAACCUACCUAUAAGACUGGGAUAACUUCGGGAAACCGGAGCUAAUACCGGAUAAUAUAUUGAACCGCAUGGUUCAAUAGUGAAAGACGGUUUUGCUGUCACUUAUAGAUGGAUCCGCGCCGCAUUAGCUAGUUGGUAAGGUAACGGCUUACCAAGGCAACGAUGCGUAGCCGACCUGAGAGGCGGAUCGGCUACACUGGAACUGAGACACGGUCCAGACUCCUACGGGAGGCAGCAGUAGGGAAUCUUCCGCAAUGGGCGAAAGCCUGACGGAGCAACGCCGCGUGAGUGAUGAAGGUCUUCGGAUCGUAAAACUCUGUUAUUAGGGAAGAACAAAUGUGUAAGUAACUAUGCACGUCUUGACGGUACCUAAUCAGAAAGCCACGGCUAACUACGUG